GCUGAAAUAGCUCAGUUGGGAGAGUGUUAGACUGAAGAUCUAAAGGUCCCUGGUUCAAGUGUGUGUUUUAGCA